rnacentral:hammerhead_ribozyme from 1 species
ACACAGCUGACGAGCCCCAAAUAGGACGAAACUCGUGUCCUGUAC